rnacentral:misc_RNA from 1 species
GCUAUUUUAAGAUGAGACGACUAAAAGAAACAUGUGGUGAGCAUGUACAGUGUCAGCAAUCUAUUGAGGUUAAUUAGACAAUUCAGUUGCUGAUAUCGAAAUAUCUUGGAUUGUCUGGGAAAUGAUAUUCCACAUUCAACUGCCAAAGAGAAAGCAAUGAACCUCAUUAGACUAAUAUAGAAGAAAAUAUAACUUACUGUUCAACUUUGUCAAUGUAAACAUUUCUGCAUAAAGACCAUAGACAACUUGUUUGCAAGGCUUUAGUUUCUAGGUAAAGACUCACUCCCAUUUACAGAAAAUUCACUGUCAAGGUAGUUGCCGUUGUUAUCUAAUCAGGCCAGCCCCAUGAGGCCAGGUAUCUAUAGAGACAAAGAAAGCCAAAAAGCAGUCUCAUUCUUGAUGGCUGAUGCAGCAAACUGAAUGAGGAGAAAAAUAUAAUGCAGAAACUAAUUAAAGUAUGAAGCAUCAAUUUGUUCACUCAUUCGAAAUAGCAACAUCAGUUAUGCACAGCCCAUCUUUUGUUUUUAUUUUUCCAUCCUCUCAUCACAAGAUAAGAUUGGCUCCAUAAAAAAGAUUUCCAAUUUGAUAUAAAAUAUAAGCAGCUCACAUUAAGGCGAGAAUUCGAUCACGAGACAACGAAGAAGAAAAAGAUGUUGCAAGAAAUUGGCAGCAAAUGCCCCACAAAACCUUAAAUAAUCACAAAUG